UGAACGCUGGCGGCGUGCCUAAUACAUGCAAGUCGAGCGAACAGACGCGGAGCUUGCUCCUCUGACGUUAGCGGCGGACGGGUGAGUAACACGUGGAUAACCUACCUAUAAGACUGGGAUAACUUCGGGAAACCGGAGCUAAUACCGGAUAAUAUAUUGAACCGCAUGGUUCAAUAGUGAAAGACGGUUUUGCUGUCACUUAUAGAUGGAUCCGCGCCGCAUUAGCUAGUUGGUAAGGUAACGGCUUACCAAGGCAACGAUGCGUAGCCGACCUGAGAGGGUGAUCGGCCACACUGGAACUGAGACACGGUCCAGACUCCUACGGGAGGCAGCAGUAGGGAAUCCUCCGCAAUGGGCGAAAGCCUGACGGAGCAACACCGCGUGAGUGAUGAAGGUCUUCGGAUCGUAAAACUCUGUUAUUAGGGAAGAACAAAUGUGUAAGUAACUAUGCACGUCUUGACGGUACCUAAUCAGAAAGCCACGGCUAACUACGUG
rnacentral:rRNA from 1 species